UUAAGUUAUUAAGGGCGCACGGUGGAUGCCUUGGCACUAGAAGCCGAUGAAGGACGUUACUAACGACGAUAUGCUUUGGGGAGCUGUAAGUAAGCUUUGAUCCAGAGAUUUCCGAAUGGGGAAACCCAGCAUGAGUUAUGUCAUGUUAUCGAUAUGUGAAUACAUAGCAUAUCAGAAGGCACACCCGGAGAACUGAAACAUCUUAGUACCCGGAGGAAGAGAAAGAAAAUUCGAUUCCCUUAGUAGCGGCGAGCGAAACGGGAAGAGCCCAAACCAACAAGCUUGCUUGUUGGGGUUGUAGGACACUCUAUACGGAGUUACAAAGGACGACAUUAGACGAAUCAUCUGGAAAGAUGAAUCAAAGAAGGUAAUAAUCCUGUAGUCGAAAAUGUUGUCUCUCUUGAGUGGAUCCUGAGUACGACGGAGCACGUGAAAUUCCGUCGGAAUCUGGGAGGACCAUCUCCUAAGGCUAAAUACUCUCUAGUGACCGAUAGUGAACCAGUACCGUGAGGGAAAGGUGAAAAGCACCCCGGAAGGGGAGUGAAAUAGAACCUGAAACCGUGUGCUUACAAGUAGUCAGAGCCCGUUAAUGGGUGAUGGCGUGCCUUUUGUAGAAUGAACCGGCGAGUUACGAUUUGAUGCAAGGUUAAGCAGUAAAUGUGGAGCCGUAGCGAAAGCGAGUCUGAAUAGGGCGUUUAGUAUUUGGUCGUAGACCCGAAACCAGGUGAUCUACCCUUGGUCAGGUUGAAGUUCAGGUAACACUGAAUGGAGGACCGAACCGACUUACGUUGAAAAGUGAGCGGAUGAACUGAGGGUAGCGGAGAAAUUCCAAUCGAACCUGGAGAUAGCUGGUUCUCUCCGAAAUAGCUUUAGGGCUAGCCUCAAGUGAUGAUUAUUGGAGGUAGAGCACUGUUUGGACGAGGGGCCCCUCUCGGGUUACCGAAUUCAGACAAACUCCGAAUGCCAAUUAAUUUAACUUGGGAGUCAGAACAUGGGUGAUAAGGUCCGUGUUCGAAAGGGAAACAGCCCAGACCACCAGCUAAGGUCCCAAAAUAUAUGUUAAGUGGAAAAGGAUGUGGCGUUGCCCAGACAACUAGGAUGUUGGCUUAGAAGCAGCCAUCAUUUAAAGAGUGCGUAAUAGCUCACUAGUCGAGUGACACUGCGCCGAAAAUGUACCGGGGCUAAACAUAUUACCGAAGCUGUGGAUUGUCCUUUGGACAAUGGUAGGAGAGCGUUCUAAGGGCGUUGAAGCAUGAUCGUAAGGACAUGUGGAGCGCUUAGAAGUGAGAAUGCCGGUGUGAGUAGCGAAAGACGGGUGAGAAUCCCGUCCACCGAUUGACUAAGGUUUCCAGAGGAAGGCUCGUCCGCUCUGGGUUAGUCGGGUCCUAAGCUGAGGCCGACAGGCGUAGGCGAUGGAUAACAGGUUGAUAUUCCUGUACCACCUAUAAUCGUUUUAAUCGAUGGGGGGACGCAGUAGGAUAGGCGAAGCGUGCGAUUGGAUUGCACGUCUAAGCAGUAAGGCUGAGUAUUAGGCAAAUCCGGUACUCGUUAAGGCUGAGCUGUGAUGGGGAGAAGACAUUGAGUCUUCGAGUCGUUGAUUUCACACUGCCGAGAAAAGCCUCUAGAUAGAAAAUAGGUGCCCGUACCGCAAACCGACACAGGUAGUCAAGAUGAGAAUUCUAAGGUGAGCGAGCGAACUCUCGUUAAGGAACUCGGCAAAAUGACCCCGUAACUUCGGGAGAAGGGGUGCUCUUUAGGGUUAACGCCCAGAAGAGCCGCAGUGAAUAGGCCCAAGCGACUGUUUAUCAAAAACACAGGUCUCUGCUAAACCGUAAGGUGAUGUAUAGGGGCUGACGCCUGCCCGGUGCUGGAAGGUUAAGAGGAGUGGUUAGCUUCUGCGAAGCUACGAAUCGAAGCCCCAGUAAACGGCGGCCGUAACUAUAACGGUCCUAAGGUAGCGAAAUUCCUUGUCGGGUAAGUUCCGACCCGCACGAAAGGCGUAACGAUUUGGGCACUGUCUCAACGAGAGACUCGGUGAAAUCAUAGUACCUGUGAAGAUGCAGGUUACCCGCGACAGGACGGAAAGACCCCGUGGAGCUUUACUGUAGCCUGAUAUUGAAAUUCGGCACAGCUUGUACAGGAUAGGUAGGAGCCUUUGAAACGUGAGCGCUAGCUUACGUGGAGGCGCUGGUGGGAUACUACCCUAGCUGUGUUGGCUUUCUAACCCGCACCACUUAUCGUGGUGGGAGACAGUGUCAGGCGGGCAGUUUGACUGGGGCGGUCGCCUCCUAAAAGGUAACGGAGGCGCUCAAAGGUUCCCUCAGAAUGGUUGGAAAUCAUUCAUAGAGUGUAAAGGCAUAAGGGAGCUUGACUGCGAGACCUACAAGUCGAGCAGGGUCGAAAGACGGACUUAGUGAUCCGGUGGUUCCGCAUGGAAGGGCCAUCGCUCAACGGAUAAAAGCUACCCCGGGGAUAACAGGCUUAUCUCCCCCAAGAGUUCACAUCGACGGGGAGGUUUGGCACCUCGAUGUCGGCUCAUCGCAUCCUGGGGCUGUAGUCGGUCCCAAGGGUUGGGCUGUUCGCCCAUUAAAGCGGUACGCGAGCUGGGUUCAGAACGUCGUGAGACAGUUCGGUCCCUAUCCGUCGUGGGCGUAGGAAAUUUGAGAGGAGCUGUCCUUAGUACGAGAGGACCGGGAUGGACAUACCUCUGGUGUACCAGUUGUCGUGCCAACGGCAUAGCUGGGUAGCUAUGUGUGGACGGGAUAAGUGCUGAAAGCAUCUAAGCAUGAAGCCCCCCUCAAGAUGAGAUUUCCCAACUUCGGUUAUAAGAUCCCUCAAAGAUGAUGAGGU
rnacentral:rRNA from 2 species